rnacentral:rRNA from 1 species
UACGGGGGGGGGCAAGCGUUUGUUCGGAAUUACUGGGCGUAAAGGGCUCGUAGGCGGGUCUUUUAAGUCAGGGGGUGAAAUCCUGGAGCUCAACUCCAGAACUGCCUUUGAUACUGAAGAUCUUGAGUUCGGGAGAGGUGAGUGGAACUGCGAGUGUAGAGGUGAAAUUCGUAGAUAUUCGCAAGAACACCAGUGGCGAAGGCGGCUCACUGGCCCGGUACUGACGCUGAGGCGCGAAAGCGUGGGGAGCAAACAGG